UGUUCCAUCUGCUGUGUGGAUUCACAUGAGUGUGAAACUGUGGUCAACCACCACCUUAAUGCUGCAGCUUCACUUUCAUCUGAAGCACGCUGACCGAGUCCAAAUAAGGAAAUGAGUCUGACACUUUAAGUCUAAUGUGGUUGUAAAUGUCAUACAUGAGAAGAUAAAAAAUAACUGUGCCAUUAAAGAAGUGUACUGGUGUUUAUUCUUUCAUGCAAACAGUAUUUUCUCAGGGUCCUCUUAUCAGCAAUCCCGAUUCAUAUUCAACAUGUUCAACAAAAACGUCUUUUUGAGUGGACAGUAAUGGUAGUAGCUCUCAAAUGCUUUGAGCUGAAUGCUAUCACAAUGCAAGCUAAUAUGUUCAAAAUUACCAUGCUAACAUGCUAAUGCUAAUUAGAUCAAAUAUUUCACUGUCUCUACGAAAAGAUGAGUUUCACCAUCUGGGGACUAAAUGUCUGAACAGAAUCUGAAGUAAACCCAGGACCUUCAAGAAAAGAGUUCUUGAUUCUGAUUGGCUGGCAGCGGUACGAAGAGUUUUAGAAGAGUUCACAAGUGUGAAGGGUUUGAAGGUGGCAGGUUUUUGACUUUUGUCACAGAAAAAAAAUAAAAAGCUUUGAAUGAAUUAAAAAUCUUCUUUAUGGGUUCUCACUGUGAAUAAAACGGUUGCUUCCAUUUUUA